UGGAAACUUAAGGGCGUAUGGUGGAUGCCUAGGCUUUAAAAGGCGAUGAAAGACGCGGCGUGGCGGCGAUAUGCUCCGGGGAGGUGCCAAGCAACCUACAAUCCGGAGAUCUCUGAAUGAGGAAACUCUCUAAAAAGAAAUUUUUAGAAUCGUGCAGCAAUGUACGAUGCAAACCUCGGGAAGUGAAACAUCUCAGUACCGAGAGGAAAAGAAACCAAUAGGUAUUUCGUUAGUAGCGGCGAGCGAAAACGAAUCUAGCCCAAACCGUAGACUUGCUCAAACCGCUUGAUAGCAAUAUCGAGUGGUGCGAGUAAGUCUCGGGGUCGUAAGGCAUUGUUAUCUACUUCGAGUAGAAAAAAGUUACAAAUUGUUUUGUUAGCCGAAUUGGCUGGGAAGCCAAACCCUAGAAGGCGAACGUCCUGUAGGCGAAAACGAAACAACUUUUACAAUGUCCUUGAGUAGCUCAAGACACGAAUGGCUUGAGUGAAUGUGCCGGAACUAACCGGUAAGGCUACAUACUUUUAAAGACCGAUAGUGAACUAGUACCGUGAGGGAAAGGUGAAAAGCAGUCCGGAAGGACAGUGAAAUAGAACUGAAACCAUAUGUCUACAAUGAGUGGAUGAGGUAGCAAUACCUCUACCGCGUGCCUAUUGAAGAAUGAGCCUGCGAGUUAAUGUGUACGGCGUUAUGGCUAAAGACGAUGAGUCUGGAGCCUCAGGGAAACCGAGUGUGAAUAGCGCGUUUGUCGUACGCAUUAGACCCGAAGCAAGGUGAGCUACCCAUGAGCAGGGUGAAGUUUGUCGAAAGACAGAUGGAGGCCCGAACCGUUUAGCCGUUCAAAACUAUCGGAUGACUUGUGGGUUGGAGUGAAAAGCUAAUCGAACCUUGUAAUAGCUGGUUCUCUCUGAAACAACUUUUGGGUUGGCGUCAUAUUUAUUGAGUAGUGGGGGUAGAGCACUGGAAGGAUUCGACAGGGCGCAAGCUCGCGAAUCCUAUCAAACUCCGAAUACCGCUACUGUUAUAUGGCAGUUAGUACGUGGGGGCUAAGCUCCACCGUACAAAAGGAGAAGAGUCCUAGAUCUCAAGUUAAGGUCCCAAAAUUCGUGUUAAGUACAUCACAAGGAGGUGAGAUUUCUUAGACAAUGAGGAUGUUGGCUUAGAAGCAGCCAUCAUUAAAAGAAAGCGUAACAGCUCACUCAUCGAGAGAUCUUGCGCCAAAGAUAAUCGGGGUUUAAACACGAUACCGAAGCUGAGGAUGUGUGUGUGCUUCGGCACAUGCACGUGGUAAGAGAGCAUUCCAUUCGCAAUGAAGCUAAAGGGGCGACCCAUAGUGGAGCGUAUGGAAGAGAGAAUGCAGGCACAAGUAACCGCAAUGCGGGUGAGAUCCCCGCACGCCGAAAGAUCAAGGUUUCCUUCGCGAUGGUGAUCAGCGAAGGGUUAGUCGGGCCUAAGCCGAUGGCGAAAGCCGCAGGUGAUGGACACAGGGUUAAUAUUCCCUGACCGGCGCACAGGUGAUGGAGUGACGCGAGAGAUAAGUUGGCACGCUUUAUUGGAUUAGCGGCCGGCCUUUCUAGAUGGGUAUCGCAGGAAAAUCCGCGGUACUGCUUUUAAUAGCGACAUCGAGAGGAUGGUAUAUCCUGCCUUUGGGCAGGAGACGUCAGCGAAGAGCUCGCCAAGAAAAACUUCUAAACUUAACUGUGCGUACGACCGUACCGCAAACCGACACAGGUGAUCAGCUCGAGUAGAGCAAGGCGAACGAGUGAGUGUGCUCCAAGGAACUCGGCAAAAAAUCGGCCGUACCUUCGGAAUAAGGCCUGCCCUUCUUUAUUGAAGGGCCGCAGCGAAAGUCUCCCUGGCAACUGUUUACCAAAAACACAGCUCCCUGCGAACUCGUAAGAGGAUGUAUAGGGGGUGACACUUGACCAAUGCCAGAAGGUCAACCACGGUCGUUGAUAUGUCGCAAGAUGUAUUGGUGAACUGUGUAAGCCCUGGUGAAUGUCGGCGAUAACUAUAAUCGUCCUAAGGUAGCGAAAUUCCUUGUCUGGUAAGUUCAGACGCGCACGAAUAGUGUAAUGACUGGGGAACUGUCUCGGAGCACAGCUCGGUGAAAAUACAGUACCGGUGAAGAUGCCGGUUACCUGCAGAUAGACGAAAAGACCCCAGAAGCUUUACUACAGCUUGAUAUUGCCCAUACGGUUUUUCUGCGUAGCAUAGAUGGGAGAGGUUAUGUGCGGGAUUUUGGUUCCGUAAUACUCGACAGUGAAAUACCAUUCUUAAAAAUUGUAUGUGCUAACCGGUGCCGCAAAACGGUAUCGAGACAGUAUCUGGUGGGUAGUUUUAGUGGGGCGCUAUCCUCCCAAAAAGUAACGGAGGAGUGCAUUAAGGUACCCUAGGCGCGAAUGGAAACCGUGCCGAUAGCGUAAUAGCAAAAGGGUGCUUGACUGUAAGGCGUGAAUGCCGAGCAGGUGCGAAAGCAGGCUAUAGUGAACCGACCAUAGGCAUUAGACGCCAUGGAAGAUUAUCUGAUAAAAGCUACUCUGGGGAUAACAGGCUAGUUCCGCCUAAGCGUCCAUAGCGACGGCGGAGUUCGGCACCUCGAUGUCGGCUCAUCUUAUCCCGGGGGUGGAGAAGCUCCCAAGGGUAUGGCUGUUCGCCAUUUAAAAAGAUACGCGAGCUGGGUUCAGACCGUUUUGAUCCCGAAGAAAUUCGGAGUCAGGACAGUCUGAACCCCACGAGAAUGUUUCGUUUAAGAACAUAUGUCGCAAGACAUAUAUAAGAAAGAAAGUAGAGCAACCAAUCACGGCGGUCUCAGAUGUAUAUCUGAGAAGAAGCUAACUUAUAUCGGUGAAGUCCAAUUCGAUUAACACUCGAAGGAUGAUACCGAGGGAAGUUUGUGAGUUUCAUUGAGGAAGAGUUCUUUAGUUUGCUGGGGAGUAGUUCAACGUUAGAACAAUCAGCCCGACAGCUGAUAAAUCUAGGUUCAAAUCCUAGUUCCCCAGCCACACCCAACUCUUGUUGGGUCCUCAAUGAAACUUGCAAGCACCCGUAGAGACUAAACGUUAGCAGCCCGCCAUUAUGGCGAGGUGAAGUUAUAGUCCAAUGCACUUGGUAACAAGUGAGAACAUGCGUGAGACAGGUUGGUCUCCUAUCUACUGCAGGCGUCGAUUAUUGAAGAGAUUUGUUCCUAGUACGAGAGGACCGGAAUGAACGAACCACUGGUCUGCGAGCUCUCCUGCCAAGGGGAUGCUCGGUAGCUAUGUUCGGAUUGGAUAAGCGCUGAAAGCAUCUAAGCGCGAAGCCGACUCUAAGAUGAGUAAUCAUUAAGAUCCGUCAGAGAUGAUGACGUUGAUAGGCUCUAGGUGUACGCAUCGCAAGAUGUUUAGCCAAGGAGUACUAAUCGAUCAAAGUUUCCAGA
rnacentral:rRNA from 1 species